AUUGAACGCUGGCGGCAGGCCUAACACAUGCAAGUCGAGCGGAUGAAGGGAGCUUGCUCCUGGAUUCAGCGGCGGACGGGUGAGUAAUGCCUAGGAAUCUGCCUGGUAGUGGGGGAUAACGUCCGGAAACGGGCGCUAAUACCGCAUACGUCCUGAGGGAGAAAGUGGGGGAUCUUCGGACCUCACGCUAUCAGAUGAGCCUAGGUCGGAUUAGCUAGUUGGUGGGGUAAAGGCCUACCAAGGCGACGAUCCGUAACUGGUCUGAGAGGAUGAUCAGUCACACUGGAGCUGAGACACGGUCCAGACGCCUACGGGAGGCAGCAGUGGGGAAUAUUGGACAAUGGGCGAAAGCCUGAUCCAGCCAUGCCGCGUGUGUGAAGAAGGUCUUCGGAUUGUAAAGCACUUUAAGUUGGGAUGAAGGGCAGUAAGUUAAUACCUUGCUGUUUUGACGUUACCAACAGAAUAAGCACCGGCUAACUUCGUG
rnacentral:rRNA from 1 species